rnacentral:ncRNA from 1 species
UUGUCUUCAGGGCAGGGUGAAAUUCCUGACCGGCAGUAAAGCCUGCGAGCCGUUUUAUGCGGUUGAUUCGGUGAGACUCCGAAGCCGACGGUAUAGUCCGGAUAAAAGAAGAUA